rnacentral:rRNA from 1 species
AGAGUUUGAUCAUGGCUCAGAACGAACGCUGGCGGCGUGCUUAACACAUGCAAGUCGCGUGCGCAGUUUCCUGUAGCAAUACAGGGGAUAGGCGCACGGCGCACGGGUGCGUAACACGUGGGCAAUCUGCCCUCCGAUGGGGAAUAACCCCGCGAAAGCGGGGCUAAUACCGCAUAACAUUCCUUGAGCGACGGUUCGAGGAUUCAAAGCAGCAAUGCGUCGGAGGAGGAGCCCGCGCCCGAUUAGUUAGUUGGUGAGGUAACGGCUCACCAAGACAAUGAUCGGUAGCUGGUCUGAGAGGAUGAUCAGCCACACUGGAACUGAGACACGGUCCAGACUCCUACGGGAGGCAGCAGUGGGGAAUCUUGCACAAUGGGCGAAAGCCUGAUGCAGCGACGCCGCGUGGGGGAUGAAGCUUUUCGGAGUGUAAACCCCUUUCGCCUGGGACGAAUGCCUCGCAAGAGGAGUGACGGUACCAGGAUAAGAAGCCCCGGCUAACUACGUGCCAGCAGCCGCGGUAAGACGUAGGGGGCCAGCGUUGUUCGGAAUUACUGGGUGUAAAGGGUUCGUAGGCGGUGUGGCAAGUUGGGAGUGAAAUCUCUGGGCUCAACCCAGAGGCUGCUUCCAAAACUGCUGUGCUUGAGUGUGAGAGAGGCUCGUGGAAUUGCAGGUGUAGCGGUGAAAUGCGUAGAUAUCUGCAGGAACACCCGUGGCGAAAGCGGCGAGCUGGAUCACUACUGACGCUGAGGAACGAAAGCUAGGGGAGCAAACAGGAUUAGAUACCCUAGUAGUCC